CACCAAAGAGUAAAUGCAUCAAAGAAACAAGUGUAAUUCAUCCAAAACAUAGCGACAAAAUUAACAGAAAAAAUAAAAACACUAUUUAGCAGCUUGGCCUUCUUCUGCUGCAGCUUCGAAGGUCUCACCAGGUACAAGAUCUGGUACCUC